UACGCAAGGAAAAACAAAAUGACCGCCUUAACAAUAUGCAGAAUAGGAAACAUCGAUCUUUGUGUGUUGUGUUUGUAAUGUGAUGUGCUGUUUCUUUGCAUUUCUCUCUCUCUCUCUCUCUCUCUCUUUGGGUGAUCG
rnacentral:ribozyme from 12 species